rnacentral:rRNA from 1 species
UGGGGAAUUUUGCACAAUGGGCGCAAGCCUGAUGCAGCGACGCCGCGUGAGGGAUGAAGGCCUUCGGGUUGUAAACCUUUUUCGCUCAUGGUCAAGCCGCAGCUUUGGGUUGUGGUGAGGGUAGUGGGUAAAGAAGCGCCGGCUAACUACGUGCCAGCAGCCGCGGUAAUACGUAGGGCGCGAGCGUUGUCCGGAAUUAUUGGGCGUAAAGGGCUUGUAGGCGGUUGGACGCGUCUGCCGUGAAAUCCUCUGGCUUAACUGGGGGCGUGCGGUGGGUACGGGGUGACUUGAGUGCGGUAGGGGAGACUGGAAUUCCUGGUGUAGCGGUGGAAUGCGCAGAUAUCAGGAGGAACACCGGUGGCGAAGGCGGGUCUCUGGGCCGUUACUGACGCUGAGGAGCGAAAGCGUGGGGAGCGAACAGG